CUUAUAUUGAACAUAAGGAAAAAAAUUGCAAAGAGGUUGCAUUUUAAGCUUCCAUUUUGCUUGUGUGGAAGACAUUUUCUUUAUUGCUGCAGAAUUUGCUGGAUGCCCUCACUUACACAGCUUGUGAAGGCUCCCAGUUGAGGAGAGGCUGGACGUGGCCCGUGCUCUCUGCAGGGAGGCCAGGAGCAGAGCUUUGUAGCUGUGCGCAUGGUGCUGAUGGCAGUUGAACGCAGACUGGCAGUGGAGACAUCCAGAAACAAACCUUUUGUUCUUGAUGCUUCAGAAGCAAAUAUCUGAAUUUGGAAAUUAAAUUUGACUUUCUUGCCAAAAUUUAGAA
rnacentral:lncRNA from 1 species